AUUGAACGCUGGCGGCAGGCCUAACACAUGCAAGUCGAACGAGUGGGGACGGGUGAGUAACACGUGGGUAACCUCCCAUCAGAGGGGAUAACACUUGGAAACAGGUGCUAAACCGAUACUGCUGGAUGGGCCUGCGGUGCAUUAGCUAGUUGGUGAGGUAAAGGCUCACCAAGGCCACGAUGCUUAGCCGACCUGAGAGGGUGAUCAGCCACACUGGGACUGAGACACGGCCCAGACUCCUACGGGAGGCAGCAGUGGGGAAUCUUCGGCAAUGGACGAAAGUCUGACCGAGCAAUGCCGCGUGAGUGAAGAAGGUUUUCGGAUCGUAAAACUCUUUUGUUAGAGAAGCGGUAUCUAACCAGAAAGCCACGGCUAACUACGUGCCAGCAGCCGCGGUAAUUC
rnacentral:rRNA from 1 species